UACGUAGGGUGCGAGCGUUAAUCGGAAUUAUUGGGCGUAAAGCGCGCGUAGGCGGUCCGGUAAGUCAGCUGUGAAAGUCAAGGGCUCAACCCUUGAAUGCCGGUUGAUACUGUCGGGCUAGAGUCCGGAAGAGGCGAGUGGAAUUCCCGGUGUAGCGGUGAAAUGCGCAGAGAUCAGGAGGAACACCGGUGGCGAAGGCGGGUCUCUGGGCAACAACUGACGCUGAGGAGCGAAAGCGUGGGGAGCGAACAGG
rnacentral:rRNA from 1 species